rnacentral:lncRNA from 1 species
UCUAUGUUUGAGACUGAAACAAGUUUGAACAGUUGCUAAAAUUUUGAACUUUAGCGCAUAACACUUAAUGCAGGGGCUUAAAAUGUCUAUACCUGAUGCAUUUAUAAGACUUCAUCUAUUAAAUUUGUAAUUUAAAACACGUUUUGUAAGCUAGCUAGCUAGAUACUUAAUCAUGAUUGAGUGAGAAUAACUUAAGACAACUUCUUAAAUAAAAUUGCAUUGAUGAAAUAAUUUGAUGCAAAAAAUAACUAUCAUUGAUAACCUUUAUGUAUUAAAGUGCAUCUUUAUAAGGAGCUACCAUUUAAUUUCUAUGGGGCUAGGAUGAAAUUUGAAAAAAAUAGGCAGGACAGGAGUUUGAGUAAAAAAAAAGGCAGGAUGAGACACUUGCAAAAAAAAAAAAGUCAGGACGACAAUUUAGGUGAAAAAAAGUCAGGAUAAAUUAAAAAAAAAAGGCAGGACCGAACAGAGUGAAAAAUAAAAAGGCAGGACAGAGAUUACAGCUAAAAAAAAAUGCAGGACAAAAUUUUUCCUCCUAGCCCCCCUAUAAAAAUCAAAUGGUAGCUCCCUAAUCAGACAAAAUCUCUAAGAAUGCAACGAGAUAAAAUAGAAUAUAAACCAGAUAGUGACAUUAAUAUUUUAGAUGAUUGUGUAAAAGUAAAAUUGUGUUAGAGUAAAAUCAGAGAUUAUUCUUAAUUUAGAAAAUAGAACUUGAAAUUUAUUUAUUUUGUAUAAGAAAACAAAUUUGAACUGAUUAUUAUCACCUUAUCACAAUGAAAAAUAACAAGAAAGAAACAAAAAUAUCUUUAAAAAAGAAGCAUAGUAAUAAUGUAUUAAGGGACGACAUCAAAAGUUCAAUAA